rnacentral:rRNA from 1 species
AUUGAACGCUGGCGGCAGGCCUAACACAUGCAAGUCGAACGAGUGGCGGAGGGGUGAGAAAUGUCUGGGCAACUGCCCGAUGGGGGGGGGGAACUCUUGGAAACGGGGUCUAAUACAGCAUACCAUCGGAUGUGCCCAGAUGGGAUUAUAUAGUGGGGGGGGUAACGGCUCACCUAGGGGACGAUCCCUAGCGGGUGUGUGAGGAUGACCAGCCACACUGGAACUGAGACACGGUCCAGACUCCUACGGGAGGCAGCAGUGGGGAAUAUUGCACAAUGGGCGCAAGCCUGAUGCAGCCAUGCCGCGUGUGUGAAGAAGGCCUUCGGGUUGGAAAGUACUUUCAGCGAGGAGGCGUUACUCGCAGAAGAAGCACCGGCUAACUCCGUGCCAGCAGCCGCGGUAAUUC